CGCACUUAUAAUCACAUUAACCAUGAACCCGUACAAUAAGUUUCAAGAUAUGGUUUUAAAGCAAUGGUUGGUCAUGGAUGAUGCACUUUUCCAAGCAUGUGGGUUUUGUCUAGUUGCGGCAUCUGAUGACCAGUCGGUGUUUAUCACUUGGGACAAGUAUUAUUUGCUAAACAUACGCUUUAAGAUGCCAGAGGACAGCUGCAGGAUAAAAAUGACUGCUGUGCGAAUUCCUGUGCCUAAAAGUGGAGGAGGCUAUAUUAGGAGUGUGCAUGCUUUGAGGUACAAUACGAUUCUGCAUAUGUCGAAUGGGGAGUUAUACAGCUUUACCUCAUUUAAGGCCCUGAAUCUUAUAAAAUGGCUCAAUGCAGUUCGUUGUUUAGCUAUAGUCGAUGUGGGAUUCAGCGUGAUUCGAAUAGAGAAUCGCCGACUGCUGCUGCAGACGUAUGUUGAUCUUCCUGAUUGGGAAAAGGACAAGUGUACACUGCAACAUUCAUUUGACAUAACUUUUGACCAGGAGAACAUAUUUCAGAGCGACUGGCAGCAUAACGAAUACACUCUGACAACUUUAAAAGUGACCGAAAAGGAAGAAGAGUUCGCACGAACUCUUUUCGGCACAAGAGCGGCAGAACAAAAUUAUAUUCACAUAUUCAGCAUAGGUGGACAUGUAUUUGCGUUGGCUUAUAAUUACAAAACAACAUCAGAUAGUACCGGUAGAAAGUUGUGGAAAUACAUUCCGAGCAAUUUUCAGUGGAAGAAUAGUACCUGCGAAAUACAGGUUGAACAAUAAGCAAUUUAUGGAAAGGAAACCAAGUAUACCAAAAAUCAGGCAGGUCAGCAGUCUUGGAAGUCAAUUCACUUUUCCCAAUAUAGCGGAUCUAUUUUGCAAUGCCGUCUCCAUUCACAAUGACUAUUGUAAAUUGCAUUUUAUAAACGAAAAGUUGCAAUUCCAUUUAAAUGGAAUGUUGGAAAGUAAAGAUGCUUCAGCGAUUUACUAUUUUAAGCAACAUAUUAUUCUAAACUCGGAUCAACUGGAAUCUGCAUCCAAAAAUUAUGACAUGACCUUUCAUACAAUAAUGAGCGACGUUGACCGAUUUCGGUACCGACAAUGUAACGACAUCUUGGCCCCUGGAACAAAUUUUUCCGUUUUAAAGUCAAAAUAUAAUAUCAUUAGAAAUGACAUUCAUUAAGAAUUUUGCGUACAUCGAAACUAUUCAAUAACCUUUUACGCUCACUUUUCUUAUUUAUACCCUAUAGUUAGAUAAACUAAAUCUAAAUCUAAUAAACUAAAUCUAAUCUAAUCGUUCCAAGGCUUGUACGUAUGAUAUUUUAGACACCAGACCCAUAUCCAAAAGUUGUCAUUGUGUAAUCCUCUUCUCUGCAUUAUUAAGAAAAUUAUUGAAUUGUGUCUAUCACAAGCGCAAAGAUCAUCCCAUCAGAACUAUGCUAUGUGAUUUUUGAAGUAAUAGCGCAAACAUUGUUGUUGUCUGGACUUUAGAUGAUAAAUCAAUCGCUCAGCUACAAGAUAAACAUUUUGUACAAGAAAAAUAUAAUGAGUAUAUAUGCUUAGUUAUAAAACAAAUAAAAUAUUCUUAAGAUGUUCAUUUGGGUUCAUUUGUAUAUUACACCCUUACCUUAUUGGUCCUGUAAAUUUCUACCGAUUUGCAAAAAAAAAAAUGUUUGCCACGCACACUCUAACGACCUAAAGCCGCCAAACCGGUCACGCCACCCUUUUAAAAUUUUUUUUGACAUUCCCCAAUAUCUAACGAUAUCCCAGAAAAAUUUUUAAAUUUCUCGUUCAUUUCCACGAGCCGAGUAACGGGUAUCUUAUAGUCGGGGAACCCGACAAUAGCAUGCAUUCUCCCUUGUUUAAUUUUAAAUCAUCCAUAUCGUAAGUUUUUUCUUAUAAAUUUAGCGACGGGUUUCAGGUUUGUACUUUGCGAGUAAAUAAUAAUAUUUUAAAAUAUUUUAUUUGAAUCU
ensembl:ncRNA lncRNA:CR46268 long non-coding RNA:CR46268